UUUAUCCAAAAAGAUUGAGUCAGCUAGUGGGUGAAUUAACAAAGGCAAAUCAUAUUAUUAGACAUUAAUUUUGGACACAAGAAGAUAGACAUUGACUUUGGAACAACCAGAAAAAAAUCAAAAAAUUAUUUAUCAUAAUUAAUUAAUUAAACAAUGAAUUAAAUGUUUGGUAGCCCACAUCCUGUCCUUCACUUUUGAGGGGCAUGAUUGCAAUUAAUUAAACAUUCAUUAUUUUAAAAAAUCCGCUAAUUUAAUGAAAAAUAAAUAAUUAAUUAAUUAAUAUGAACGCAAAAAAUCUCCUCCAUUAAUUAAAUAAUGGACACGUGGCAUGUUGAGAGGAUGAGAGAUUUUAAGAGACAGGUAGGGGCCACCAAUGAUUUGGUAUGAUGGGCAUUUGAUUCCGUGGUGGUUUGAUGAUUUUGGAGCGUAGAAGUUGGCAAUGAUGGAGGUAAGAAUUUGGGAUCACUUUUUUUUUUUUUUCUUUUCCUUUGCAUUUAUUAAAGUUUAAAUGCUUUUGUAUUUCUAAAUGUUAUGAUAAUAAAUUAAUAAUUCUCAACAAUAUUAUUAAAUGCAGUAUUAUAUUGACUUCGUUCUUAAUAUAUUGAUGAUAAAUUUUUUAAUUUUAUAAAUAAAAUUAAAAUUUUGAUAUAUUUUAUUUUUAAUUAUUUUAUUAUUUUUUAAUAUGUCUUAAAAUAUAUGUAUCAUUUUAAUAAUUUUGUUUGUAAAAUUUUAAAAAAAAUUUGCCUAUAAAUAAAAUCAUUUUUCAUAUUUUACAUUAAAUAUAGCAUUCAUAUAAUCAAGAGAAACCAAAUGAGUUUUUUUUUUUAAUCAAUCUAAUAGGGUGAGAAUUUUUUUUUUCUAAUAGGAUUAGAAUGAUUUAGGUUUUAGGCCAUUGAUUUUAUACUUGAAAUUGCAAAUUAUAGAGGGAAUAUAUAUUUACCUAUAUUUUCAAUUGCCUGGCUGAGUACAAAGUUCAUAAUAAAAAAUUAUUUAAAGAUUCAUCAUUUAUAAGUGUGGGUUUUACAUAAAAUUUGAAAGAAUUUAUAUAAUUUUAUAUUAUGAUUAGUUAAUUAUAUUAUAAUAAUUAUAAGUGAAAUACUUCCCUUAUUCACAUUGUAUUCUAGAGUCGCAAAAAAAAUAGUUGUCUUACUUUAUCCCCUUAACAAUUGCUAGAAGUGAAGGGUGUAAAGAUUAUAAUUGCUUGCAUUAGAUGUAAUUAAAGUGGUUAAAAGUUUAGAAAUCAUACCAAAAUAUUUCUUUAAUUAAUACACUAAUGACUAUUUAUCUACCUUCUAUAGUUGAUAAGUAGGAUGUUAAUUGUACAUGUUUUAGCUUUAUGCAAUGUUACAUGUCCUAUUAAUUUUAGUCCAAAAUAUUUGUAUCAUUUAAUUUAAUGAAUAAUUAAUGGAUAUAUUUUUAAAUGAAAUUCACUUAUUUUUUGAAUUGAUUUAAAAUUUUGUUAGUAACAUGUGAGAAUGGAAUAAAGAAAUUAUUAUUAUCAUAUUAUAUAUGUGGACACAAAUUAUUUAUAUAUAUAUAUAUAUAUAUUACCAUAGAAACAUUGUUUAUUCUAGUUUCGGUUAAAUUUUUAUUUUUCUUUUUUACAAAAAAAAAUGUAACUUGAGAAUAAAACAACAAGUUAUAAAUAUUAAAAUUUAAAUUUCAUACUUAUUGAAUAUUAACUUUUAAAAAUAUGUCUAAAUCAAUUGUAACGAAAUUUCAAUUUUAUUACUCUUCUAGACGAUAGUCCAAAUUGAAUUUAGCAACUUGAUUAUUUUUCAUGAAAAUGGUUAGAAAUCUAUUAAUUUUUUACCUUUAUAAGAUUAGGAUAGGCUUACAUAAUUGAUGAGAAGAUUUUAAUAUAGACUAGCCUAGGUAAUUGAUGAGAUGGAAUUAAGACUAAGGUAUUAUUUGUGUACUAUAGUCAUGUUGAAUUGAAUACUUGAUGUGGAACUAAUUUUAAUAUAGUAUGGAUUUAAAAUGAAUGGAUGUUGAAUUCUAAAUAUAACCUAAUUGAUUCAUAUAAAAUCAUUUUUAAAAUAUAAUAUUUAAUAAAUUUAAAAUUUAAAUUUAAAUACAUACAAUCUCUUCUUCUAUGCUUAAAUAAUGAUGUAUGAAUUUAAAUAUAAUUUUACGUAAAUUGAUGAAAAUAAUUUUUCUGGGUAACCAAUGAGAUAAUGAAAAAAAUACUUUAGAUACUUUAAAUUUUAAUUUCAACGUCUAAUUUUGUCAUGAGUAACAAAAAUUUUUAUGUACAUGAACAUGAAUAAAAAAUAAAUCACUUAGAGGACUUUCAAAAUUAUUUACAUAAUUUUUUUUUUAUAAUUUUACUCACGGAUGUCUUAAUAGAGUGACGAAUGAUCUGAUCAUUCUCUAACAACCUCAAAUAUUAAAAAAUAUUUUUUUUUACAAUUAAAAAAAUUUUCAAUUUGAGUCUUCAUACUAUUACUAUUAUAAGAGGGAAGGAAGAAAAAAACAAAGUUAGGUGUAGGUCCAUAGACCUACUAAAUUACACGGAGAUUUCCAGCCACAUGUUUAGAAAAUUAUGCACUAUUAUUAUUGUUAUUAUUCACACAUACUUUAACAAACUAAAGAACAAAUACCGUACCAUGCACGUGUGGAUAUAAUCCCCUUUGUACUUAAACUUUAUUAUUAUUAUUAUUAAUGUAUUUGGAGACCUAAUUAAUUCUUUUUUUUUGGAUAAUAAUAAUUGUACAAAUUAUUUUAUUAUUAUUAUUAUUGUAUUUGCUAAAAGGUCUAGGGAGCGUAGGUGCCUUUUGACUCAUACCAUGGUUUUCUAUUGGAAAAAUAUUGGACAUAAAAUAUGGAAUAUUACCUCAAGUAGAAAAGGAAAAAUAAAAUAAUAAAAAAGGGAGGAAUCAUUUGAUGAUGAGGGUCAUUAAAAAGAGUUGGGGUUGAAUUUUUAAUUUAAAAAAAUUUAAUGAAUGUGAAUGAAAAAUAAAUCAUAAAAAGAUCUUUGUUGGAUGCACUUGAGGUUUAAAAAAUUUAGAUAUAUCAAAUUGAUGUGUGCCAAUACAUUUUUUUUUUAUCAUCUAAAGGAAAUAUUAGAUACAAACAAAAUUUUAAAAUGUAAAAAAAAAUCAUAUAAUAAGAGGGGAUGAGUUGAAUUUUUAUAAAGGUAGAAUCAUUUGGGAUUGGAAAACAAAACCAUCAAUUUAAUCAUAGUAAUACAUUAAUCUUUGUUUAUUAUAUAUAUUUUUUCGUUCUUUAUUUCCUUUGUCAAGAGAAGGGAGCAUCAACAAAUCCACCGACUUUCACUAAAGCAAAAGCUUUAGCUUGCCCCACUAAAACACUUUCCCUUUUUUUUUUUUUUCUCUUUAAAUAAGACUUGUUGGGAUGGAAGCUUUCACAAAACAUCAUUGCUUGCGUUUGAAAGUAGGGAAAUGGGAGACCCCCCAACAAUGGUGACUUCCUCUUUGUUGUUUGUUCCCAUCGGAAAAAGAGAGGAGACAUUUAGGGGAAACCCCCAAAGAGAAAGGACCCCACAUUAAGUACUUGGAGGGGAACCCCAAAUUUUAACUUGUUGCUUGGGAGGGGCUAAGGACCUUAGGGGGAGGCAGAAACAGUUGAGAAAUUGCCGGCUGCAUUGUGGCACAAAGUUAAGGCAAUAGGGUCCCAUGGUCCAACCAUAAAGAAAAGGAGGGUUCGGCAACAGAUGGAGAGGCUCGUUGGUUUAGAUAUGGGCAGAUUCGUUGGUGGGGUGGAGCAUGGCUGCAGUGAUGCAGUGAUUGUGGGUGCCAGAGGCCAGAGCUAAGCCACAUGGGGAUGGGCAUGGCUACUUGGACAGGGGGCCAUGGCGUGAUAGCUGUGGAUAUUAUUAAGUUUUUGCAGUUGGAAUUAUUCUUUCUCUGUUGAAAAAUUAUUCUCGGUGUCAUAAUUGUGUCACUCAGUUUUAGUGGGGUUGAUAAUAUUUUAGAUUUUGAGCCAACCCAACCCCCCAACUCUAUCUGUUCAAACAGCAAUAGAUUUAUUUUUUUUACUUAACCAGAAACAUGCAUAAUACUUUGUAAUAUUUCUGCUAAUUUUUUAAAAGUAAAAGUAAUUUAAUAUGAAAUAUUAAAAUAAAAUAAUGUCACGAAUAAAAUAUUUAAUACAAUUAAAUUUUAAAAAUAUCUAUAAAUUAAUGUAAUAUUUAAAUGAUUAUUUGCUUGUUAUAUAUUAUUAUUUAAAAUUAAUUACAUUAAAAAUGAAUAUCAUAUUAAGAUUCAUAAUUUAAAUUCUUUGUAACAUUAAUCUUUUACCCUUUUGUUUGGUUCUUGGGGCAGACAACCUUACUUAUCUUUUCCCCCACCAAAGUUAAUCAUGAAACCAUAAAUGCAAGAUAAUCAGUCCAAAACAAUUCUUCACCCAAUUGUCAUUUCCAUAGGUACCACAUUAAUACAAAUUUCAUGUGCAAAUUUCUCAUUUGAAUCAUUGAAGUGCAUUUUCCAUUAUAAUCUCCAUGUAUGGAACUAUUGAAAUUAACAUCCAAACAUAAAUUAUUUUCAUAAGGACUUGGCCUUGGCUGGUCUUUUAAGACUUUUACUUAUAAUUUCACCUAUAAUUCAACAAAAAUAAGAUGAACCUCUUUCUUUUUUUAAAACAAUCCAUGUUUAGAAAAUUGUUCUUUCUCUCUUUUUUUCUUCCAUGUGAAAUGGUGACAUACUGUCCUUCCUAUGCUAAACAGUUUCUUCGGAUGUUUUUGCCUGCCCAACAAAUUAACUUUUUUAUAUGUAUAUAUAUUCAUGAAAUUAAUGAAAAAUGAUUAAAACUCGACCGAAUUUAGGGCAAGCAAGACCAUGGUCCUCUCAAAAAAUUUUAUAAUAUCAUAGUUUUUAACUCGAUCCUUUCUCAACUUGAUUUGUUAUUUUGAUUUCCCUUCGUGAUUUUGUUGGUUUCACCUUACAAGAGAUUGAUAACGAUUUUUAAAAAUUUUUAAAUGAUAACUUUGUUUUUUAUGAAAAUAAAAUCACUAGAUUACUAUAUAAUGAAAUUUUAUUUCGAUGUCUUUAAAUUUAUAAUUAAACUUUUACCAUAUAUUAACUCGUAAAAGAUGAUUAUUGGCAACGUUAAUUACAAAAAAAGGAAAAAGGAAUACGAAAAGUGAAAAUUUUCUUGUGCAAAUCUAACAAUUUGAGAUGUAGCAAAUUAGAAGCUUUAAUUGUCCCAAAAGGAAAUAUUAAUGGGGAUUAUAAGGUUUAGUACAUUCCCCACCAAUUUGCUCACCAAACUAGCUUUAGAUUUCUAUUGAAGGAAUGAUGGUAGUAGCCGAAUUUAUUACCAUUUACCAUUAAACUUCAAUUUUGUAUGCCAGCAAUUCUAAUUUGAAGACCACACUCCUUAAUUAAUUAAUGUUAUUCUGAUUGCACACUCAAAUUGAAAUUGUCAUCCAUUUUAAAUUGAGAAAAAAUUGUAUGAAAGCGUCCACGUAUGUUUAUUUUAUUCAAAUAAUGGCAUAUAUAAUCAUGUUUGUGUUAAAAGUCAUUUAUUUAUUAUAAAAACCUUUAAUUAUGAGAUGGUUGAAAUAAAUAUUUGUAAUUGAUUAUUACAUACAUAUGAUGUAUUUAAAAAAAAAAAUUAAAGAUUACGUGACAGAAUUUAAACGAAACAAAACAAACAUAUAUUGACAUUGACGUAACAUUAACAAUUUGAUCUAUCGAAUAAUUUAUCUUUUAAUAAGUUUUGUAAAAGAAAAAAAUUUAUUUGAUUUUUUCAAUCUUCUUGCAUCGAUAGCAAUCCCAUAUCAUAAAAAAUCAUUCAUUGCUAGGAAUUUAUACUUUUUUGGAAAUUACUUUUUCUAUAAACCAAAUGCCCAUAAGGGUAAAAUGAAUAUUUCCUUUUAUAUAAUCCAAUUUCCUCUCUAUUUUCAUGUGUACUUUGGUUCAUUUUCACAACAUAGAACCUUAACAUUUGGAAUCUAAAGUUGAACCAAAAAUAUCACUAUCCUCCACAUGCACCUGAACUUUUGGUUGUGGUUGCAAUGGUUUAAACUCUCUUCUCCCUUUACAUCCAAUUGAGGCAGGGACCAUUCAUAAGUUGUAUAUAUAUUGCAACUAAGAUAUGUGAAGCUUCCUUCAUGUACUAAGUUCCCAAAUUUUGGUUGGAUAAUUGGAUUCCACCUAACCUUGGUAAAGAAAUAAAGACAUAUAGCCAAAAACAUACAUGCCAAUUAGAUCAAAAUUUAAAAGUUAUAUGUUACAUUAAUUUAUUCAAAUACGAUUUCGAUGAUUUUUCUAUUAUCUUUUGAACUAUACCAUCAAAUUUUGAAUUCGAUAAUUUUACUUUAUAAUUCAAGUCAUGAUAAAGUAAUUAUCAAAACAUAUACGGUUAAUGUUAAUAUAUAUUACUUAAUCAUAGUAUAAAGUAAUACCUAAACUCGUUUAGUUUGUCAAAACAAUAACCAUCUUUCUUAAUGGAUAAAUAUCCGUUUUGUUUUUUUUGAAAAUUAUUGAUGGAUAAAUAGCAAGAAAAUAUUUUCAGAUAAUGCUUUUGGAUUGAGGAUUUUCUUUCACUUUCUUGCCCCACCAUAAAGUGCCAAAGGUUUCCGAGCUUGUUUGUAUGAACCAUGAACUUGAAAAAGCAGAGGGCGGCACGCAAAAGGAUUGCUAAAGACAAGAACAUGCCCAUGCCCACGUGAGCUUUGGACCCCCCUCCCACCCCCUCCACCCCCCCCAUCCAAUCCUUUUGCCAUUCAAGGCAAGUUUAAAACUCAUAUGGUAGAUGAUCAAAUUGACCCAUAUAUUGCAUUAUUUUAUAUCAAUUAAUUGUCUUUAACUUCUUAUUAAAAUCAACAAUUGAUUAAAUUGAAGAUGAGUUGCCUUGUCUUUUUUUUUUCCCUAUAAUGUUGCCAAACUUAAAAUGAACAUCAAGAUUAUGCUUUCAUGUUGUGUAAUUAUUUGGGAGAUUUCUAUUAAAGAUAUAAUUUCUUUUCAUUUUGGUUAAAAAUUUUUUUUUAUGGAAUUUCAUUGAUUAGAAACAUACAAGGGAGUUGUAUUAAUGUAUUACAACUCAAAUUUUAAUAAGUUUACACAACACUCAUUCUCCAAGGAGGUGAAUGAUAUUAGACUUUUGAGUUGCUAACCCAUCAUUUUUCUUUUACUAAAAACGUAAUUUAGGGAUGAGAAAAAAAUUGUAAAUUUUGAUAUUUAAAAUUUAAAUUUAUUAGAUGUUAUUUUUUAAGGAUAACUAAUAAACUAAUUAAGUUAAAUUUCAAAUUUCAAUAACUCUAAUUGUUUAUAUCUAAAUAUUUAUAACAAUUUUUUUUACUAUUUAUAUCAAUGUUCAUGAUUUUUUUUUGUAAAAACUCUCUUUUAUCUCAUAAAUAUAUUUUUUUCAUCGUAAAUUUGAAAUUAAGAUUUUUAAAAUAUAUAUAAUUAAGUUUUGUUCAAUUUUUUCUUUUUUUUGUUUUUUUAGUUAUUAAUUCGAUGUCUGAUUCAAAUAUAAUAUAUAAAUUUAAUAUUUAAAUUUAAUUCAAACUGAAUAAAAAAAUUGAUCCAAAUUAAAUCGAACAUUAUGAUUUUGAAUUAAUUUUUAUUUUUAACUUUUUUCUUACCCCUAAUAUCAAUAAUACAAAUAAAUCAUAGACAGUAAUUCUCAAAUUAAAGCCAAACAAAUUUGGUACCAAUCUUAUUAUGAGUUAAUUACUUUUUUUUUAACUAUUAAUCAAGCUAUGAUAUUGAGUUUGAACUUUGGAGUUUAUGAUGGGAAUUCACUACUGGGGAAAGAGCGAUGCUUUGCACCAAUUGGGGUUGGACAAGAAUUGUGGAAGAUGGAAUUUAUUUUGCGUCACUUGGAAAGUUGGAAGGGCUUUCAAUUUUUAUUUAUUUUUUAUUUUUAGAUUCGGUCUUAAGCAUGUAAUGAUGUAAAUUCUUAUUCAUUUUACAACUUAUCCACCCUUAUCUCUUCCCUCCUCCAUCAUUUUCUUUUAAUUUUUCAGCUUUUUUUCCUUUUAGUAUUUUUAUUUUUAACCAAAACUAAAAUAUUUUGUACUUAAACAUUUGAUUAAGUUACACCAAAAAUUUCUCUUCAACGAUAUUAAUAAAAAACCCAUCUUAAAAAAUAAUAUAUAUUUCGUAUUUAAAUUUUAAUAUCCGAAAUUAUUUUAUAUUCUCAAAUUAUAAUUUUUGUGUAUAAAAAUAAUCAACAAAUUUCAUUGGUUGGAUUCGGAUGGGUUUGUGAGAAAAUGGUAAUUAAUUAUUGCUAUAAUUGGUUAUGGGUCUAUGUCAGUAUACAAAGUCCAUAUUCCAACUAUCGGUGGUUGAAAAUAGAAAUCCAUAAUUAUGGUUAUCAAAUUUUCCAAUACGGUUCCUUAAGGCCCACAUGUUAUUCAUGGCUUUUUUUUUUAUUUUUUUAUUUAUAAAAGAUUUGACUGCUUGAGUUUGACUACAUCAACUCAUGAUCUGACCCAUCACGUUUUCCAAGAUUAAUAUUUUUCCAUAAAAAAUAUCAUUAUUCUCAAUAAAUUUCUUACCCUUAUCGUUUUUCUUUUUCCAAACAAAAGAAAAUGCUAAACAUGAAUUGAAAAUACAAGAUAAAUAGAAAAAAUAAAAACACAAAUUAAACAGAGCCGUAGCAAGUGAUAAAUAUGCUUUUGAGAGUGUUUCAUAUAUUAAGAAAAAUAAUUUAAACAUGUUAUUUAUUUUUAUUCAAUUUUAAAAGGAAUACACGUUAAAUGGAAAAAAAAAAUUAUUCAUCUAAACUAGG
rnacentral:lncRNA from 1 species